rnacentral:lncRNA from 1 species
CGCGUCACAAUGAGAUGGCAUUUUUUUUUCUUCUUCCGUCGUCGAUGAAUCAAGUUUGGAUAAUUGGAUUCGUGGCGUAACCAAUCCCAAUAAAGAAUUGCUUCGUCCAGUUCUUCAACCUAGGUGACACUGACACAAGGCAUGGUCGGGAAUUGAUCGAGGUUUCUGCACCUGCAGGGCUGCAGCCCACUUGUCCACUCCAAUACAAGAGCCGGGACGGCGGGGCGGGCGGAUCGGCCAUGGCGCCUCCGAGGCAAGGGGAGGAGCAUGCGGGCGCCGGCGCCGGCGCUGCGGGCCCCGGCACACGUGAUGGCGCGGAUGUUCUCGCAGCUCGACUGCGUUGACCUCGGAAGCUGUUCCCUCGUCUGCAAGGUACCCUCAGUGCAGAUUAGCCUGCAGGAGGCCAUCUCUUAUCUGCGCCGAGACAUCCUUGACAGCUCCAGGACCGU